UACUUCUGGGGCAAGCGUUGUUCGGAAUCAUUGGGCGUAAAGAGUAUGUAGGCGGCUAUUUAAGUCAGACGUGUAAGCCCACGGCUCAACCGUGGAAUUGCGUUUGAAACUAUUUAGCUUGAGUUCGGGAGAGGAAAGCGGAAUUCCCAGUGUAGCGGUGAAAUGCAUUGAUAUUGGGAAGAACACCGGUGGCGAAGGCGGCUUUCUGGUCUGAUACUGACGCUGAGAUACGAAAGCCAGGGGAGCGAACGGG
rnacentral:rRNA from 1 species